rnacentral:tRNA from 1 species
AAGGAUUUAAGUUAAAAAAACUCACAGCCUUCAAAGCUGUAAAUAAAGGAAGUGCUUUAAGCCUUA